rnacentral:rRNA from 1 species
GAUGAACGCUGGCGGCGUGCCUAAUACAUGCAAGUCGAGCGAACAGAUAAGGAGCUUGCUCCUUUGGCGUUAGCGGCGGACGGGUGAGUAACACGUGGGUAACCUACCUAUAAGACUGGGAUAACUUCGGGAAACCGGAGCUAAUACCGGAUAAUAUUUCGAACCGCAUGGUUCGAUAGUGAAAGAUGGUUUUGCUAUCACUUAUAGAUGGACCCGCGCCGUAUUAGCUAGUUGGUAAGGUAACGGCUUACCAAGGCGACGAUACGUAGCCGACCUGAGAGGGUGAUCGGCCACACUGGAACUGAGACACGGUCCAGACUCCUACGGGAGGCAGCAGUAGGGAAUCUUCCGCAAAGGGCGAAAGCCUGACGGAGCAACGCCGCGUGAGUGAUGAAGGUCUUCGGAUCGUAAAACUCUGUUAUUAGGGAAGAACAUACGUGUAAGUAACUGUGCACGUCUUGACGGUACCUAAUCAGAAAGCCACGGCUAACUACGUG